AUUCAAUGACUGCAAUGCUUCAAGCCUUGUUAUAGUUUUAGGAAUGUCACCGGAUAAUUUGUUGUUUGAGAGAUCCAUACUCCGAACAAAAUUAAGGAUGGUGCUAUAUUCAAUCAUUUGUCCCUUUUUCAUAAUUGAGGAACUCCCAUAGAAUGACCCAUUAUCAUCAAUGAAAAUGGAAAUUAGGCCUCCCAUAUCAUAGGUUUCAUAUACCAUUUCACUGAAGUUAUCGACACAUGUUGGUAUUUUACCACUGAGGUUGUUAUUAGCUAGAUCCAAGAUUCUUAAAGAAGUCAUGCGGCAAAACUCUUUAGGUAUGUGACCAUGAAAUUUGUUCUCACGAAGAUUGAAAAUAACCAUGUUUAAAAAAUGUUGCUUCUCCAAAAAUACUGAAAUGUCUCCGCCCAAUUCAUUUUCACCUAUGUCAAGUACUGUCAAUUCUGAGCAAUGUUGAAGUGACAAUGGUAUUUCACCGGAGAGAUUAUUGUUGCGAAG
rnacentral:misc_RNA from 1 species